UGAGAUUGAGAACUACAGGGUACAGUGAGUAAUUCCAUAUAGUUAUUAUUAUUAUUAUUAUUAUUCUGUUUGGAUUGGACUGUACAGAAGCAGGUCUUGGUCAGAUCAGAGCAACUCUUCAUUCAGUAACUGGAGGUCAGGACAGCCUGAUAAUGCUGGAAACAGUGAAUACUGCACUGCUGUGUCAUUCAGUGACUCUGGGAGCUGGACAGAUGAAAACUGCAAUAUAACAUUACCUUUCUUUUGCUACAGUGUGUCAUUGCUGGGAUCAUCCUGUCAGUAUUACUUUGUGAAUCAGUCUUUGAACUGGACUGAAGCUCAGAGAUUCUGCAGACAGAAUUACACUGAUCUGGCCACCAUUGAUAAAAUGGAGGAAAUGAACAGGCUGAUUAACACAGUCAAUGGCAGUUACAGCGGUUCAGCCUGGUUGGUCAGUAUGAUGAUGUGAACAGCUGGAGAUGGUCACUGCAAGACAAUAAUUUCUAUCAGGAAGGAGAAAGAGAUUACAGGAACUUUUAUCAUGAACCUGACAACAGUGGUGGAAAAGAACUGUGUGUUUACAUGAAUCAUGAUGGUAAAUGGUAUGAUGUGUCAUGUGACAACAUACUGCCAUUCAUUUGCUUUGAUGGUAGACAGAACGCCAUACAGAGUUACAUCAGAAUCAAUUUCAGUAAAACCUGGACAGAGGCUCGUAGAUACUGCAGAGAUUAUUACACAGAUCUCGUUAAUAUGAGAAAUCAGACUGAAAACCAGAAGAUUCUUGAGACAGCAGGUGGAGGAGUCUGGAUCGGACUCUACAGAAAUAGGGUUUGGUCUGACCAACAGAUUACAAGUUAUGAAAACUGGAAACCAGCUAUUCCCUCUUCACAACCUCAACCAGACAAUGGUGAAUAUGAUUAUGGUCAGUGGGGCUUUCAGCUCUGUACAGCCGUAUAUUUCAGACAUUUAGGACAAUGGACUGAUGAAAACUGCCUUACCAAAAUGCCUUUCAUUUGCUACAAAAUGAUUUGCUCUAGAUCUUUGUGUGCUCGUCAGUAUCACUUUGUGAAUCAAUCUUUGAGUUGGACAGAUGCUCAGAGAUUCUGCAGACAGAAUUACACUGAUCUGGCCACCAUUGAUUACAUGGAGGAAAUGAACAGGCUGAUUAAAACAGUUCGUGGGACUUACUAUGGCAAAGGUUGGAUUGGACUGUAUGAUGAUCCAAAUAAUUGGAGAUGGUCCCUGGAUAACGCAGCUUUAGGUAUGGGAUUUAAAAGCUGGUUUGUUCAGCAACCAAGAAACUGGGAUGGACAGAGUCUGUGUGUGUACAUGUCAUAUUAUUGGGGAAUAUGAAGUGAAGCCUCUUGCUCCUUUGCCAUACCAUUUGUUUGCUAUGAUGGUAAGAAUUUCCAGGGGCUAAUUAACUAAAACAACACAUUUUCAAAAUCGAAGAUUUUGAUACCGUUUUACCUAACAGUUAACUUAAUUAACUUGUUGUUGUUUGCAGAAAGAACAAAUGCAGGUUCAAGUUAUGUGUUUGUUAAUCAAUUCAAAAACUGGACUGAAGCUCAGAGUUACUGCAGAGAAAAUCACACAGACAUCGUCAGUAUCAGGAAUGAGAUGGAGAACUACAGGGUUCAGUCAGUAAUUACAAAUUAUUACGUUGUUUGGAUUGGACUGUACAGAAGCAGGUCUUAGUCAGAUCAGAGCAACUCUUCAUUCAGUAACUGGAGGUCAGGACAGCCAGAUAAUGCUGGAAACAGUGAAUACUGCACUGCUGUGUCAUUCAGUGACUCUGGGAGCUGGACAGAUGAAAACUGCAAUACUGCCUUUCCUUUCAUUUGCUACAGUGCUUUAGCAUCAUCCCAUCAGUAUCACUUUGUGAAUCAGUCUAUGAGCUGGACUGAAGCUCAGACAUUCUGCAGGCAGAGUUACACUGAUCUGGCCACCAUUGAUAACAUGGAGGAAAUGAACAGGCUGAUUAGCACAGUCAAUGACAGUUACAAUGGUUCAGCCUGGAUUGGUCAGUAUGAUGAUGUGAACAGCUGGAGAUGGUCACUGGAAAACAAUGAUUUCUAUCAGGAAGGAGAAAGAGACUUCAGAAACUGGUUUUAUGAACCAAACAACUAUAACGGGAAUGAAAUGUGUGUGUACAUGGACAGGAGUGAAAAGUGGUUUGAUUCAUCAUGUGACAAUUCUUUUACAUUUGCUUGCUAUGAUGGUAAGACUUUGUAAAUCUUAAAUGUAAUCACUUUACAUAAAUGAUUAUUAUAUCAGAUUUGCCUGCAGUGAUGAUAAAAGCUGAUGUCAAACCUUUAUAAUUCUUAUUAUGUAAGAACCUGGUCAUGGUUUUCUGCUCUCUGUAUUGUAUCUCUAGUACUGCACCUGCACAUUUGGCAUGUCAUGAUUUUGCAAAGUACAAUGCGAUUCAUGGAUUAACUUCUAUGUUGAUCCUAGAAUAACAUUUUUGUUUCGAAAAUGUAAUCCAUACCUAUUUACAACCCCUACAUUUUCUUAUCCCUAAACCCAAUCAAAACUGUAAAUUAUUCCCAAAAUUAGAGGGGAAUAAUAGUUGGAUAAUCAUGUAGAAGGUCAUAAACCUAAACGUAAGCAUAAAAUUAACAUAAUCAGUAAUCAUAUGCCUUAAUUAUGAUUGGCUGAAUGGAAUGUUGUUUCCAGGAACAGCACAUAUUCCUUCACAUAUUGGCUGCCAUGGACUGCAGGUGUUGAUGCACAACCAGAUAAUGGUGCAAAUGUCCCAGGAGAGCAGGGGGCCCAACACUGUACAACAGUGUCUUUAAAAUACUUUGGUCAGUGGUCAGAUGAGAGAUGUUUUGCCAGCUUGCCCUUCUUCUGUUAGAGUGGUAAGAAAAUGUACCGUUUAUAAUGAAAUGCUUAAAUUGUAAAUUCAAUAAUCUUUUAUGCUUAACCUUUUUACGUCUUUUUUUGCUUUCUGGUGAACAUGACAAUCAUCCCACCGUGUCAUUUCAGAUGUGUAUGGUAGGCGUGUGUAAAUAAGGUAUUUUCUGCUAAAUCAUUCUUGCAUGUCCAAAAGUUCUGACCAGUUUUGUUUUUCUCUUAUUAGUGAUGGGACUGAGAGUGAAACUUACAAGUGCCGAAAAUUUAUCGCAGUCUCAGAUUGAAGAGCAGUUGAUUAUACAGCUCCAGGAAGAAUUUAUCAGACAAGGACUUCCCAGAAACUUCACCAUGCAUUUGAGAAAUGUCCGUAAAACCAGUCCAUGAGAAACAAAGACAUCUCUCCUGCACACAAGGAAAAUGGUUUAUGCUUUCAAAUGCUACUGUUUGCAAAACCAUAAUGCAUAUGAUCUUUCGAUCUCACCAUAUAAUCUUAUUCGUUUUGUGGAAAAACUUAAUUGUACUAGUAUUUUACUCUCUGUUUCUGCAUUCUUGACAAUUAAAAAACUGUUUUUCUGUUCUAUUAGAAGAGAACCUGCUGUUAUUUUUUCUUCACGUGUAAACUGCAGUCUUUUGUUAUUCUGUUACUUAAUGUAUGUUCAUUAGUGCAUUAAUAAAAAGAUGACAAAUACACAAACC